rnacentral:rRNA from 1 species
UGGGGGAUAUUGCACAAUGGGCGAAAGCCUGAUGCAGCGACGCCGCGUGGGGGAUGAAGGCUUUCGGGUUGUAAACCUCUUUCGCUAUCGAACAAGGCCCGCUUAGGGUGGGUUGAGGGUAGGUGGAGAAGAAGCGCCGGCUAACUACGUGCCAGCAGCCGCGGUAAUACGUAGGGCGCGAGCGUUGUCCGGAAUUAUUGGGCGUAAAGGGCUUGUAGGGGGUUGUUGCGCCUGCUGUGAAAACGCGGGGCUUAACUUAGGGCGUGCAGUGGGUACGGGCAGGCUUGAGUGUGGUAGGGGUGACUGGAAUUCCAGGUGUAGCGGUGGAAUGCGCAGAUAUCUGGAGGAACAACGAUGGCGAAGGCAGGUCACUGGGCCAUUACUGACGCUGAGGAGCGAAAGCAUGGGUAGCGAACAGG